UUGUCCGUUUAUGCAACCCAAUUGCUCGAGAAUGAGCACUCUGGAUGUCAUGCAUUGCUUAGGGAUGACAAGGUAGAGGAUUUAUCAAGGAUGUAUAGGCUCUUUUCCAAAAUACCUCGAGGUUUAGAUCCGGUUUCUAGUAUAUUUAAACAGCAUGUUACUGCUGAAGGUACAGCAUUGGUUAAACAAGCGGAAGAUGCAGCUAGCAAUAAGAAGGUGAUGUAAUCUU